rnacentral:lncRNA from 1 species
AUUUUGAUUGGUGAAGUUUUGGCACAUGAAAUUUAUAUUUUUGGAAAGAGGGGAUCAAAUGUGACUUGUAGGAAAAAACCCCACCAAAAUUGGCCAAACGGUUUGAGAGAUAUGGCCUUCUGAAGUUCAAGAUUUUCUGAAAUCGAUUCGAUCAUAACUUGCCAACCACACAUGGGAAUUAAGAGUUCUUGGACUUUUUGGAAAUGGGAGAAC